UUUUGGCGAGAUGAAUGGCAAAGAGCUUUUCUUUAUUAGCCAUAGCGUGCCCUUUAUCAUCACUAGCAGGAAGUAUUUUCGUAGGCACCCUGUCGAGGGCGCUUCCAACAAAAUUAUCCUUGGAUGAAGGAACAUCUUUCUUCUCUAAGUUCAAAAGCUUUCUAGCUUCAAGAGACGUUGGUAGGAAGAUGAAAGCAAAAAUAACGAUUAUCCAAAGAACGCUUAAUCGAGUCAUUUUCGAAUGCAAAGAGAAAGAAUAGAGAUGCUAUAUUUUCUAUGCCUUUUCUUAUAGAAGUGUAAAUAAAAAAUGAGGCCUUGAAUGACAUAUUGGUUGGAUUUUGAGGUAUAUAUAUAAGAACGGAGGAACCGUACCGGCUAAGUAGCAUGUUUGGAAUGAAUCAAUGAAUAUGUUGGUAUUUUUCUGCAUGCAUUGUUGUUUAAGAUUCAUGGAAAUUGGGUUAGGUACAAAUUAACUACACUGCCAGCUUGUGUUUUUAAGUAACUUCAUGCACUUAUCACCACAAGUACUUGGAACAACCAGAUCAUUACCCUGUUUACUUUCUAUACCUUUUGAUUCAACCUUUUAAAGAUCAAAAACCAUUUCAUUCUACUUUUCUGGUUCUAAUAGUUAAAGUUGGUUUUUCCCACUUGCUGGAAUACUGCCUUUUCAAAGUUCAAUGAUCUACAGAACUACAGGAGACCUGAAAGCCAAGUUUGUCAAUUUGCCAAUGAUGCACUGAAAUUGUAUAUAUGCCUAGAAGUACAAGACCUAACAUUUUCUGUAGCAGCUAGAAAAUCUAUUAUUCUGUGUUGAAAUUAACGUACAAUUUUAGCCAAUUAACUUCAUAUUCUUGCCUUUCAAGAAAGGCAAAAACCAUGCACAACUUCCAGUCUUACAUGAAAAAAUGCUAGAGGCAGCGAGAUUUUUUUAUUUUGAUUACUAAUAUUUUAUUUUAUUUUUAUUUUUAAAAAUUGUUAAAGUUAAGGAUAAGUUAGACCAGAUGAUUAGACUGUUUUAGUAAAGAUUAUUUUAAGAAAAAGCUAUUCAUGGAACAAGUCUUUCACAGAACAGCUGUUUAGGAACAACUAUUUAAGGAACAUUUCCUUCACGGAACAACAUCUUCCUCAAAUUGCUGGUCUCGGAACAACUUUCUGAAGGAACGACACCAACACCUUCACUGUAAACAUUUUCACCAAAAGUUGCUUCAUUAUAAGUUAUUCCACAAAAAACGUUCCACCGAAUGUUAUUCACCGAAAGAAAAAGUGAAAAUAAUCUCAGAAUAUAGUAGGGUUCUUGGGUUCAUUUUACUAUUAGGAUGUUUUGAAAAACUUAGCUUGGUUGAUUAGAUAUAGAAAUAGUUAAAAUGUUUCCUCUUAACCAUUCACUGAAAUAUUAGUGCUUCUCUCUUUUUUUUUUUCAAAAAACAAAUAGAGAACUUUUAUGUUCACUAUAACUAUCAUUGAAAACUAAUUAAACUCUCAUUAACUAAUAUGUUAACACCUUUUGUAAUGGCCAAUUCUCCCAUUAUUUACAAUUAUUCAUAUUUAAUACAUUAACACUCCUUAUAAUUGUCACUUUCACCAUUAUUACUAUUCAAUACUUAAGAUAUGUAACUCCUAUUCUUGAAACCUAUAAAUAGGAGUUUCCACAAUUCAUUGGGGGACUUUUAACAAAUUUACUCAAUUUUCCCUGCAAUUUUCUCUUCCUAAAUCCCUUUUUUAGCCUUAUUCUCUUCAUUACUUAAUCUUGCUUCACUACCUACUACCACUUGCCAUUGCACUCAAUAUCUCAGGGUCUAUUCCAAUCUUCUUUCUCGUCAUCUCUCGGCACCUCAUGUUCUAUUUGUUUGCAAUGUUUUCUUACAUCACCGAAGAACUUGUUUACAUUUUGGCAACUCUACUGGAAGGAAUGAUUGCAUUGAGUAGAACUUCACCGAAGAAAUGACAUGAGGAACUAUACUAGAUAUGAAAAAUCCUAAUGCCACAAUGAUACUCAAUGGUGGAGUAAUAAUGUGGUUAGAAUGUUUAUUCUUUCAUAUUAAAAGUUUAAUUAGCUACAAAAUUUAAUCUUUACCUUUUACUAUUUUUAACUAUUUAAGCAUUUUUAUAUUAUUAUUUAGUGCUUACACGUUUAAGAAUUUCAAUUAAUUGAAAAAAAAACUUAACGUGAGAAAAUGAAAAGCAUGUAUUAUUUCAACAAAUGUCCAUUCUAAUGCAUGCUCUUUUACCAAAUAUCACAAAAGUGAUGAAAAUGUUUGCCUUUUUAUAACUUGAAGGAAAAAGUUAUUACCAUAUACUAUACCGAGAAUUUUCUUUUAUUGUACAUAAGAUUAAACUUUGAAACCAAAUUGAGAUACAAAGUUGAUAUGCCUACUAUGUAGAAUCCACUUUUAUUGGCCACAGUUUAACAAUUUAUGAUUUAAAAUCAAAUUAAUCUCCCUCGUACUAGAUUGAGAAAAAAUUAUUUUCUUAAUACAUAAUGGAGUUUGACCUCUUUCUUUUUGAGUUGACAAUUCACUCUCUAGUAUGAAAUUGAAAAUUACUCAUUUGUCGUAGCUUUAUCACUUAUUUUUUGGUCGCUAUUCUAUUGUUGAUACUUACUAUCGAAUGAACCUCCUUAGUACCAAGUUAAAAAUUAUCUCCAUAUUGAAAAUUGUUCUUUGGUUGCAACUAGACCUGGUCAUAGGCUAGGCCGGGGCCAAGCCAGGUUUUGGUCAAGCCUAACAUGAAUUUUAGCAUUUUAAGCAAGCCCAGGCUGACUCGGCAUAAUUUUUGGGCUCAUUUUUUGUCCAAUCCCAUUCCUAUAUGUAAUAAUAAAGUUUAAGCUCGCCCAAAGCAUUGAUAUUUAAAAUUAGGAAAAUAGUUUUUUUCUUUUUUUUUUUGUAAAUUAUUAAUUUAACUAAUUUUAAUUGAAUUUAUAACUCAUUUGGGCAUGGUUUCAAUUUAAUUUUGUUGAAUUAUAUAAAGAAAAAAUAGGCUUUAUCAUAUUAUAAGUAAUAAAGCAAAUAUACUUUAUUCAUUAUAAAAAAAUAAAGCAAAUGAGUUUUGUCCCAUUAUGAUAAAAAAAUAUUUUUUGAUUUUCAAGUUUGGCAGGCCCAAGCUCGGGUUUUAAAUGGUGAAACACAAGCCCGACCCUAUUUUUUUGAUUGGGCCUCAUUUGUUUGUACAAACUCAUUUAACUAACUUAAUAUUCAUAUCUAAUGUCGUAACGGUUUUGUGUCCGUCCGACGAAUUUGGAAAUGACAAUAAAAAAAAUAACGGAGUUGCCACCAAUUUUUUUUGGCUAGGUGUGAUUGGCCACCUACUAAAACAUAUCAUUCUAAUAAAGUUUUAAAAUUAAUUAAAAUUUAUUAAAAAGAUAAUUUUAUGAUCUGCGAAACAGUCUGGGUUCAAAAGUCGAUUACGUGUAGGGAAGGAUUAGCACCUCCACAACGCCCGUUAAAAAAAUGGUACCAAUUAACAACGUGUUAUCCUUUGAUUUUGAUAAAAAAUUAUCCAAUUUUCGGUAUUCAAAAAAAUAAUUUCCUUGAUUUUUUAUUUAUUAGAAAAAAGAAAAUUUAUUCUUGAGAAAAAUAAAUUAAAACCUUUUUAUUGAAAUAAUUCUUAAAAUGUUCCAGUACGUUGGUAAUAUUAGAAGAACUUUUUCUCACCUAGAUAUUUCUUAGGCAUCGCUUCUCGGAAUACCUUAGAAUCUCAUCCUCGGAGGCUCAAAUUUACUUUUCGUAAAAAAUGUCAUGCAUGCAAUGCAAAAUGUUAUCAUGUUUAUGCACACAUUUUACUCUCAUUUGUUAGAAAUUUUAUUAAUAUUUUACUAAUAAUUGAAAUUUUGAAGAAAAAGAAAUUUAAUUAUAUUGAAGAUUUUCUAUAAAUAUUCCAAUACGCUGGUAAUAUUUUAUAAAAAAUCUUCUCCCCUAGAGAUUUCUUAAAGCAUCUUUACUCGGAAUACUUUUAGAAUCCCAUCAUUGGAUUAAAUUUCUUUUUUUCUCAUUUUAUUACUUAUUUUUGAUAUAUUCAUCGAUUUUUAUUUAUUAUUUUAUUUUUUUUAAAAAAAGAAAAUUUUUAUUGUAUUAAAAUUUUUUUAUAAAUACUCCAAUAUACUAGUAGUAUUUAAAAAAAAAUCUUCUCACCUAGAGAUUUCGUAGACAUCACUACUCGAAAUACCUUUGAAUCUCAUCGUUGGAUAAAAAUUCCCUUUUCUCUCAUUUUUUAUUAGUUUAGUAUUAUUAUUAAAUUUAUUUUUAUAUAUUAUUUUGUUUUUAAAUUUUAUUUUAAAAAUUAACAAAAUUAUAUAAAAAAAAAUGUAACCACAAUUUCAUCAUUUAAUUUAACAAAUAUAAAUAUUUUAAUAUGCAUAAAUAUUAAUAAAAUAAUAUAUAAAAAUUCAAAAAAAUUCAAAAAAAAAAUUUUUUUUACCUGAACCAGACCGGUCAAUGAUCCAGUUAAUGCGCAGUUCGGUUCGACGGUUAGGUCCGGUGGUUCGGCUCGGUCUGGGCGGUUUAGCAGUUUUGUACCGGUUCGGUCUAGGCAGUUUAGUUUCAGUCCAAUCAGACCGGUCAAUGACUGAAAAAGAAACGGGUCGUCGGGUCAGGUGCCGAACCCCGAGUGGGGUCACAGGUUGAAGCACGGAUCCUGGGCUGUUAAAACGGUGUCAUUUUGGGCCUUUAAUGAAACGAUGUCGUUUUGGUUCUGAGCAUUUAUAUAAAAGGUUCAAAAAUUUUUUUUUUACUCAUUCUUUCCUUCCUAAAAAAAAAAAACCCCUUUCUUCCUCUGUAUUUUUUUUUUCAGGCGACCUGGGGCUGGUGGCCUUCCGUUGUGAUGGCAGUCGCAAUCCUUGCCAGCGGCGAGCUCCGACCACCGUCGACGGUGUUGAAAAAUUCUAAAAAUCUCUCACAAACUCCUCUCGACCCCCUGAACACAGAUCCGACCUCCUUUUCACCAAAAAGAAUCCCAAAAUCCCAAGAUCUGCUGGGGAAGUUUUGGUGAAACUAUAUAUUUUUUUGUAUUCUGACUCUUUUUUUUUUAAACUGACUUUUUUUUUCUUCGUGCAGGAAGCUCGGCACUGGGUUCCUCCCUACGGGGAGGACUGUGUAUAUUUUUCUUUGUUUUUUUUUUCAAUUUUUUUACAGCGUCUCCUCUUUUCUCUUUCUCUUUUUUUUUGGCUUCGCUAAGAGCUCUAUUUAUAAAGCUCCAGCCAUGUGUGUUUGGGGGGAAGCGCAUGGGGCUCGGUACGGGUGUAAACACGAGCCCCAUGCAUUUUUUAUUAAUUUUGGCCAUAUCUAGCAGUUUUGUCAAUGGAAUGAUUAAUUUGAGGGGUGGAGGGUAGGGUCUGGUGAUCAGAAGGAUGGGGUGUAAGGUCAGGUGGGUCUGGUGGCACAGGUGGUGGCAGUGGUGCCGGGGAUGGCACCACUGCCAUCCUCAAUUUUUGUUCUGUUUUGUUUUUUUUUCAUAUUUUUUUAUUAUAUUUCAUAUUUUAUACUUAUACUUUGUAUUUAAUACUUCUGGACAAAUUGAUGUCCACAGCUGCCCCUCUUUGCACAUUGCUGGUAAUCAAUAAUAGGGCAAAGACAAAGACAACAAUUUUGUCCAAAAUCCAAAUGAUUUUUUUUUUUCGAAAAUGCUUCUCUCACUUGAGGCUCGACAACUUUAAAAAAAAUUUAAAAUCUGAAAAAGCUCCUCUCAACAGAGGCUAACAACUUUAAAAUCUCACUUGAAAAAGCUCCUCCCAGCAGAGGCUCAACAACUUUAAAAUCUCAUUUGAAAAAGCUCUUCUCAACAGAGGCUUAACAAUUUUAAAAUCUCAUUUGAAAAAGCUCCUCUCAGCAGAAGCUUAACAACUUUAAAAAUCUCAUCUUGGAAAAGGCUCCUCUGCUAAGAGGCUCAACAACUUUAAAAUUUCAUCUUGGAAAAGGCUCCUUUCAGUAGAGGUUCAACAACUUUAAAAUCUCAUUUAAAAAAGCUCAUCUCAGUAGAGGCUCAACAACUUUAAAAUUUCAUCUUAGAAAAGGCUCCUCUCAGCAGAGGCUCAACAACUUUAAAAUCUCAUUUGAAAAAGCUCCUCUCAGCAGAGACUCAACAACUUUAAAAUCUCAUUUUCUCUCAAAAACUGAGUUCUUUUCUUUUAACAAGUAAAUUCUUCUCUUUUGAAAUCUUUUAUUUGAUUAGGAAAUGGAAAGUCUCCGUCUUUAUUAAACCUAUUCAUGGAUGCAUGUACUGAGUGCUCUAAAUGCAAUGCAUGUAAUGCAAUCAAAAUUAUUCAUUGUAGUAAAAACGUUCUCAAAAUCUCUCACUUUUGGCUUCUUUUAUCAGAAUUUUUGUACGACCAAUCUAUUCUUAACAUCUAACCACAAUAUUUUUCUACUUCAAAAGUCUGUAACAUCAAUGUCCUGUCAUAUUUUUCUCAUCCUUUUUCAUUUUCCUUUGUCAACUUUUAAAAAGUAAUGCUAAGAUCUUUCAUGUUUUUUUUUCUUUUCAUCAUUUUAAGUCCAAGACCAAUAAAAUGCAAUCACACAUUUCUUCUAUUCAUAUGGUGGACAAAAAUGAGAAUAAAGGAAUGGAUAGGUGUUAUUCCCAAAAGAAAGAAAGCAUAUUUUAUUAGACUGGUAACAAGUACAUGGUAAAGUAUUUGAGUUGAAAUAAAAGUGCCCAAAUGAUGAUCAUAAGAUAAUCAUGAACAGAAUAUUCCCAGAUUCUUUUUCUAAAACUAAAUUAGAUGACUUCCUUGAUCUUUCAGAGUUCAUCAAACUACACUUGCCCUUGUAUUAUGGAAUGAUGCUUUUUCUUCGCAUCCAAGUCACCUUUUUCAGGUUUUCAACUUCGUAUGAGUCAUCAUUUUUUCAUUUUUUACUUUUUUUUUCUUUUUUUUCAAGCAAAAUAUUUUUUCACAGCAUCUGAAUUUAUUAGAACAGGUAAAUCACUUCUGUCCAUUUCUACCAAAAUCAACGCCCCACCAGAAAAAACCUUUUUUACCACAUACGGGCCUUUUAAAUUUGGUGUCCAUUUUCCUCGAUUAUCAUGUUGAUUUGGAAGUAUCCUUUUCAGCACUAAAUUUUCUUCUCUAAAGCAAUGGGGAUGAAUUUUCUUGUCAUGUGCUCUCAUCAUCCUUUUUUGAUAUAAUUGACCAUGACAAAGUGUUGUAAGUCUUUUCUCUUCAAUGAGGUUCAACUACUCGUAGCAAUUUUGAACCCAUUAUGUUUCUUCUAUUUUUAUCUCCAUCAGGACUCUCAGCGAGAGAAUUUCCACUUCGAUCGGUAGCACAGCUUUCAUUCCAUAUACUAAAGAAAAUGGAAUGGCCCCAGUAGAUGUUUGGACUGAUGUUCUAUAAGCAUACAAAGCAAAGGGUAAGUUCUAAUGCCAAUCUUUAUAAGUAUCAAUCAUUUUUUUAGGAUUCUUUUAAUAUUCUUAUUUACAGCUUUUACUGCCCCAUUCAUCUUUGGACGAUAUGGUGCCGAAUUACGGUGACGAACCUUAAACUGAGUGUAAACUUCAUUCAUCGUCUUGUUAUUCAAAUUUUUGGCAUUAUCAGAAAUAAUUAUCUCUAAAAGCCCAUAUCUGCAUAUUAUCUCUCUUUUUAUGAAUUUACAUACCAUAGAUCGGGUCACACUAGCGUAUAAUGUAGCUUCUACCCAUUUUGUGAAGUAAUCAAUCAUUACAAAGAUGAAUCUAUGUCCAUUUGAAGCUUUUGGAGUGAUGGGUCCAAUGACAUCCAUACCUCACAUAGAGAAUGGCCAUGGAGAAACCAAAACAUGCAACGUUGUUGGAGGAGUGUGGAUCUUGUCAGCAUAGAUCUGACAUUUAUGACAUUUUCUGGCAUAAUCAAUACAGUCACUCUCUAUUGUCAACCAAUAGUAUCCAGCCCUCAUAAUUUAUCUAGCCAUCAUAUGACCAUUUGCAUGUGCCCCACAAACUUCAUCAUGCAUCUCUUCAAUAAUCUUCUUCGCUUCAGCUGUAUUCACACAUCUUAUGAGUACUUGAUCUCAACCCCUUUUAGAGAGGAUUUUUUCGUCAAGAAAGAAACUCAUAGCCAACCUUCUAAUAGUUCUCUUAUCAUUUUCUGUUACAUGUUCUGGGUAUUACUGGCUUUUAAUGUAUUGCAUGAUGUCAUGAUACCAUGGUUUUCCAUUAACUUCUUCUUCAACACCUGAACAAUGUGUUGGUUUAUCUUUCACAUCCAGCUUGAUGGGUUGAAUUUCAAUAUUUGCAUCUAUUUUAAUCAUUGCAGCUAGAGUAGCCAGUGCAUCAGCAAUUUGGUUUUUCUCUCUAAGCAAAUGCUCGAAUUGAACUUCUUUGAAUUAUUUAACUAACUGAAAAAUGUACUUAUGGUACUGUAUCAACUUGGAAUCUCUGGUUUCUCAUUCUCUUCGUAACUGAUAGAUGACUAGAACUGAAUCUCCAAACACAUCUAAUACUUUGAUUUUCUUUUCAAUUGCUGCUUGUAGACCCAUAACACAAGCCUCAUAUUCAGUCACACUAUUUGUGCAAUUAAAAUUUAACCUGGCUGUAAUGGGAUAAUAGUGCCCAUCAGGAGAUAUUAAAAUUACCUCAAUACCAUGACCCAAAGCAUUAGCAGCUCCAUCAAAAUACAUCCUCCAAGACUCUUCAACAGGUUCAUUUUCUUCAAUGGCCAUCACAUCUUCAUCAGGGUACUCCAGGUUCAUUGGUUCAUAAUUUUCGAUAGCGCGAUCAGCAAGGAACUCGGCUACGACACUUCCUUUUAUAGCUUUUUGAGUCAUAUAAAUAACAUCAUAUUCUGAAAGCAUAACUUGCCAUCGUGCUAUUCUUCCUGUCAAUGAGGGUUUUUCGAAGAUAUACUUAAUAGGAUCCAGCUUUGCUAUGAGCCAAGUAGUAUGAUAAAGCAUAUAUUGUCUAAGCUUUUGAGUUGUCCAGGCUAAUGCACAACAUAUCUUCUCUAAUGGUGAAUACUUGGACUCAUAAUCAGUGAAUUUUUUGCUCAAGUAGUAUAUUGCUUGUUCUUUCCUGUCAGUUUCAUCUCUUUGCCCUAGCACACAUCCCAUGGAAUUUUCAUGCACUGUUAAGUACAAGAUCAAAGGUUUUUUUAGGAUUGAAGGCACCAACACAGGUGGAUUUGACAAGUAUUCUUUGAUCUUAUCAAAAGCUUCUUUGCAUUUAUCAUUCCAUUUUCCUGGAUCAUAUUUUCUGAGAAGCUUGAAAAUAAGAUCGCACUUAUAGGUGAGUUGAGAGAUGAAACGAGCAAUAUAGUUCAGUCUCCCUAGGAAACCUUGCACUUCUUUUGGGGUAUGAGGAGGACAUAAGUUUUGGAUGGCUUGUAUCUUAUCUGGGUCCACUUCGAUUCCUCUUUCACUAUCCAUAAAGCCCAAUAGUUUUUCUGACUUGACACUAAAUGUACAUUUAGCAAGAUUCAACUUCAACUGAAAUCUUUUCAACCUGUCAAACAGCUUUUUGAGAUUGACUAUAUGAUCUUCUCCUUCAUGAGAUUUUGUAAUCAUAUCAUCCAUAUAUACUUCUAUUUCUUUAUGUAUCAUGUCAUGGAAGAGAGUCACCAUUGCUCUUUAAUAAGUGGCACUAGCAUUUUUUAACCCAAAAUGUUCCUUACAUGGUCACAAAUAUACUUUUCUCCAUAUCAUCUCGAGCCAUCUUGAUCUGAUUAUAGCCUGAGAAACCAUCCAUAAAAGAGAAUGUGAAAUGCCUAGCAGUAUUAUCUACUAGAGUAUCGAUGUGAGGUAAAGAAAAGUUAUCCUUAAGGCUUACCCUAUUCAAAUCUCGAUAAUCGACACACAUUCUCACUUUUUCAUCCUUCUUAGGAACUGGCACUAUGUUGGCUACCCAUUCAAGAUAUUUUGCCACUUCAAAAAAUCCAGCAUCGAAUUGUUUCUUCACUUCUUUUUUAAUUUUUAGCAGCAUCUCUGGUUUCAUGUGCCUUAGCUUUUGUCGCCUCAGCUUACAUUAUGGUUUUAAAGGUAACUUGUGCUCUACAAUAUCAAUGCUGAGUCUUGGUAUAUCUUGGUAAGUCCACGCGAACACAUCUACAUAUUCUUGGAGCAACUCUUCUAGCUUUUAUCUUUCAGCUGGUAAAAGAGAUGUAACAACUUUGACCUCUCUUUUGUUCUCACCAUCUCUCAAAUUUACUAAUUCAGUAAUUUUUUGGUGGGGUUCAAUUGGCUUAUCUUCAUGUUCCAUUAAUUUUAACAAAUCAAGAGGCAGUGUAUAGUUAUCUGAAUCUUUCUUAUUAUCAAGUUCAUCAACAUGAAUUAAGUUUUCAAAAUCAAAUCUAAGAUUAUUGCCAUGAUUAUCUUUAUGUUCAUUGUUUGGGACCCUGCAAAGGGUAAGAUGGAGAGAAUAUUGGCACACAAAAAUGGAAUGACAAGAAAAUGGUGGAAAGAAAAGAAUGGAAAGUAAAAUAAAUAUGAAAAUAAUAGAAAAAAUGCAAAUGCAUCUUCUAAGUCUUUUAUUAAAACGAUAAACAUAAACACACCAUAAAAGAUCUCCUAAUACUUGUGGAAAGUAAUUUAAAGUUUCACAGUACAUUACUUUUCCAAAGUUUUAAAGACAACUGGCAACUCUGUAACUUUCCAAUUAUCUAGCUCAAAAUCUGAAGGACAAGAGUACACGAACAGCUCUUCACUUUGACUUUUCUUUUUACUAAAAUCUACCAUUUGAAUGUUCAGCUCUGAAAAUUUUUCCAUGAAUCCUACACUUGGGGUUCUCGAUAAAUCUAAAUAAAUAUAUCCUCUCGAGUGAAAAGAAUCAUAGAGGUAUGGAAUGACUAUGGGCUCUGACUCUGACUCAUAUCCCUUAAGAUUAGCUAUCCUCUUAUCUCUUUUUUCAUUCACCAUUCUUGUUCUAUCCCCUCUCGUUGGCUUAUAUCCCAAGCCAAAUCUGUCUCUCUUUUCAUAUAUGGCCAAUGGCUUCGUGAUUCCUUGCAGGUUCUUUCCAAGUCUGACUUCAGGUCACCAUCCCAUCUUGGUAAGCUGUUUGACUACCAUUUUAGUUGUCAUAGACAAGUGUCGCAAAUAUAAUUUAGAUCUUUCAGCUAUAUAUAUUGCAUUGGUAAUCUCAAAGGAUCUAUAAGAGCUUUCUAGAGCUUUAUCUGCUAAUUCCACAUAAGAAGUAUUUAUCGAUUGAGUUACUAAUAAAUUUUCUUCUCUUGCCACACAUGUUAGCUUUCUUUCAACAAUGAAUUUAACUUUUUGAUGUAAUGAGGAUGGGAUAGCACCUGCCAUAUGGAUCUAUGGUCUACCCAAUAAAUAACUGUAUGAAAGAGAUAUGUCCAUAACUUGAAAUUUCAUGUUGAAAGUGCAUGGGCCAAUCUGCAAUGGCACUUCUAUAUCUCCUAGCACCUCUCUUCUAGUUCCAUCAAAGGCUCUCACUAUCAUAUGACUAGGUUUCAUAUAAGAUCCAUCAACAGGGAGUUUUGCCAAAGUAGUCACAAGCAUAACAUUGAUGGAUGAACCAUUAUCAAUCAAAACCUUAGCAAUUAUAUGACUUUUAUAUUUCACAGUAAUGUGAAGAGCCUUGGUACUUCCUCUACCUUCAAGAGAAAUCUCUUCAUCAUUGAAGGAGAUAUAGUUUGAAAUCGUCAGAUUACCAACAAGCUGUUUCACAUAUUCAACAAAAGCAUUGUGAGACACAUAUGCUUGAUUUAGCACCUUCAGCAAAGCAUUAUGGUAUGACUCUGAACUGAGCAAUAAUGACAAUAGCGAAAUUCUAGCUGGCAUCUUGUUAAGUUACUCUACCACGUUAUACUCGUUAUGUUUUAUUAACUUUAGAAAUUCACCUACUUUACUCUUAGAUAUUGGCUUCUGACAUUCUUUUUAUGGGGUUGUGUCAAGACCACUCUGACUUUCAUUUUCUUUUCCUACCUUGGCUUUCCCCUUUCUAGCUUUUUCUAAAGCCUCUAGGGUAUAGCACCUACCACUUUGAGUUAUACCUCCUACACCCGUUAUGUUGGCAGUAUCUAGGUCGAUUACGACAUCAUAAUCAUACUUCUAAGGUACUGCUUUAUCAUUCUGAUAUGAAAAAGGGCCAGAAACUUUAAUUGUCACCAUAGGUCGAGAGAUAAGCUUUUCUAGCUUCGAAGUUGGCUUCUCAUCAUAAUAGAUAGUUACCGGUCUACGCACAAACUUAUUCUUUGAAUCAAUGGUAGACACUUCAACUUUCACUAACUCUUUUUUUUCUUAGUAAAACUCUAUUCGACCUUCAUCCAUCAAUUUUUACACUUUUUGAUGAAAUUGGUGAUAAUUUUUGAUAGAAUGCCCCAGAACACCUCCAUGAUAAUUGCAGCUUUCAGUUGAGCUAAUUACUUUAGAGUAAUUUUGAGGUUCUAUUGGCUUCAACAUGUCAGCUUUGACCAAUACUUCAAACACCUUAGCCAUCGAAGUCUUAACUUUAUUUAUUUUCUCCCUCACAUGACUUUUUUGCCCAUCAAUUAAGGCAUUUAUUGAUGGUCUGGUAUGAUUUGGUAGAGGAUUCCCAUUGACAUUUGGAGUCCCUUGUUGGUUGGUAUCAAAAUUUAAUACUCCUUCAUUGAUUAACCCUUGCACUUUAUGUUUCAAAGCAGUACAAUUUUCAAUGGAAUGACCUGAAUUCCUAUAAUGAUAAUCACAAUGUUCAUUGGGGUCAUACCAUUUGGAAAAUGGAGGUUUCAAGGGUUCAACGAUAACAGGAGCAAGCAAAUGUUUCUCAACAAGUCGAGGAUACAAAUCUGUAUAUGUCAUGGGAAUGGGAUCAAAAGUAAUUUUUUCUUGGGUAUUUCUUGGGGCUCUCAAACCACUAUUAGGAUUGGGUCUCCAUCCUGGUCUGAUAGGUGCAGCAGGACGAUUAUAGGUGGGUGUCUGAAAAGAUGACUGAAAACGGGGUGAAUAAACUGGUUGUGGUAAUGACUGGUAUGGUUGAUAUGAAUGAGGGAUGGAUGUAACAUGGUUUACAGAAGGGUAAUAAGUUUGGUAGACUGGUACAGAGUAGGGUGUGAAACCUCUAAACUAUUGCCCUACAUAGUUUACUACUUGGGCUACAUUCUCUUUCUUUUUGAGAGCUCCACCUUUUCUUGCUUCACUUGUCUCUCCUGCAUCGAGCUUACUAUUCUUUAUGGCAUUUUCAAUGAUCUCACUUGAUAUCACCAUAUCUGUAAAGUUCUUGGUUGCAUUGCCUAUUAAUCUCUCAUAGUACGGUGCUUUCAGGGUAUUCACAAAUAAAAUAAUUGUUUCUUUCUCAGUGAGAGGAGGUUGAACUUGUGCAACCAUGUCUCUCCAUCUUUGUGCAUACUCCUUGAAGUUUUUAGUUACUUUUUUUUCCAUACUUUGAAGAGAUAGAUGAUCUGGAAUCAUAUCUGUGACGUGCCGAUAUUGCGUAAGGAAUGCUUUUAUAAGCUCUUAUCAAGAACGAAUACGAGUCCUAUCUAAUUAAACAUACCAUUUAGCUGUAAAACUCGUAAGACUAUCUUGAAAUAUAUGCAUUAACAACUUCUCAUCUUGAGCAUAUGUUGUAAUCUUUCGACAAUACAUGGUGAUGUGGGUCAUUGGGCAUUUUGUGCCAUCAUAUUUUUCAAAUUCAGGGACCUUGAAUUUAGGUGAAAUUACCACAUCUAGAACUAAACAAAGGUCAGCUGCAUCUGUGGAGCCAUAAAAAUUCAUUCCCUUUAUAGCCCUAAGUCUUUCUUCCAAUAACUUUAUCUUCUUCCGGGCAUUGGUAUCUUCUACUUUUUCAAGUGUCUAUAUCCCUAACUUUUCUCUUUCCUUGGGAUCAUCCAAAUCAGGAACUAAGAUUGGCUCAGGUCGUUUUUCCAUCAUAAUGGGAUUUUGAAAUUGUCCUUGAGCAAGUGUGGAUGUCAUUCCUGGAUAAGGAUUAGGUUAUCCACCGAGAGUAGGAAUUGGUACUCUAGUUGCUUGUGAAGGUUAGUUCAGUCGUGGCUCAAACCUUGGAGGAUAGAUAGGAUCUACCAUAUCUGGUGAUUGUUCUUGAAAGCUAGGAUUUUUUUCCAUUGUUUUUCCCUUGUCAAGUUUCUUGAGCAUAUCCAUUAUUAUGCUAAGAUCCCUUCUUAGUUUUUCUUGAGCUUUCUCAAUUUUCUCAAAUCGACUGNNNNNNNNNNNNNNNNNNNNNNNNNNNNNNNNNNNNNNNNNNNNNNNNNNNNNNNNNNNNNNNNNNNNNNNNNNNNNNNNNNNNNNNNNNNNNNNNNNNNNNNNNNNNNNNNNNNNNNNNNNNNNNNNNNNNNNNNNNNNNNNNNNNNNNNNNNNNNNNNNNNNNNNNNNNNNNNNNNNNNNNNNNNNNNNNNNNNNNNNNNNNNNNNNNNNNNNNNNNNNNNNNNNNNNNNNNNNNNNNNNNNNNNNNNNNNNNNNNNNNNNNNNNNNNNNNNNNNNNNNNNNNNNNNNNNNNNNNNNNNNNNNNNNNNNNNNNNNNNNNNNNNNNNNNNNNNNNNNNNNNNNNNNNNNNNNNNNNNNNNNNNNNNNNNNNNNNNNNNNNNNNNNNNNNNNNNNNNNNNNNNNNNNNNNNNNNNNNNNNNNNNNNNNNNNNNNNNNNNNNNNNNNNNNNNNNNNNNNNNNNNNNNNNNNNNNNNNNNNNNNNNNNNNNNNNNNNNNNNNNNNNNNNNNNNNNNNNNNNNNNNNNNNNNNNNNNNNNNNNNNNNNNNNNNNNNNNNNNNNNNNNNNNNNNNNNNNNNNNNNNNNNNNNNNNNNNNNNNNNNNNNNNNNNNNNNNNNNNNNNNNNNNNNNNNNNNNNNNNNNNNNNNNNNNNNNNNNNNNNNNNNNNNNNNNNNNNNNNNNNNNNNNNNNNNNNNNNNNNNNNNNNNNNNNNNNNNNNNNNNNNNNNNNNNNNNNNNNNNNNNNNNNNNNNNNNNNNNNNNNNNNNNNNNNNNNNNNNNNNNNNNNNNNNNNNNNNNNNNNNNNNNNNNNNNNNNNNNNNNNNNNNNNNNNNNNNNNNNNNNNNNNNNNNNNNNNNNNNNNNNNNNNNNNNNNNNNNNNNNNNNNNNNNNNNNNNNNNNNNNNNNNNNNNNNNNNNNNNNNNNNNNNNNNNNNNNNNNNNNNNNNNNNNNNNNNNNNNNNNNNNNNNNNNNNNNNNNNNNNNNNNNNNNNNNNNNNNNNNNUUUGCUUUUUAGAGGAAUGGCUUUUGGUAUUUUUAUCGCUUUGCCAAAACGAAAAAAAAAAAACAUAAAAAAAAAGACUAUCAACAGUGAAGGUCCCGACGGCCAUUCUUACGAUGCCUUUUAUUUUUGAUUUUUUUUUAUGUCAAAAUUAUUUUUAAUUGCAAAAUUAUUUUUGUUGUUUUUUUGUAAGAAGCAAAAAAAAAAAAAAAAAGGGAAUCAAGUGAAAUUUUGUUUUUAUUAUUUUUUUGAAGCAAACAAAAAAAAAAAAUAUACAAAUAAGUAAGAGAGUUAUGAAAUAAAUUUAGUGAAGUUUAUAUUCGAUUGUCACUCUAAUUAGGUUUUAUUAUCCUACGUUCAUUUACUUUUAAUGCAACAAUUUAGUAAAAUCAAUUAGAAAUUAUUAAAAUUAAUUCCAAAAAUUUUUUUUAGUGAAGCUUAGAAAUGAUUUUCACAUAUAAAUAAUAAUUAGUGAGGAUCAAAAUUAAGUACUAAAAAUUACUUUUAAUGAGGAUUACAAGCGAAUCUCACUAAAAUGAAAUUUUUAGUGAAGGUCAAUGUGCAAUCCUUAUUAAAUUCCUCAUUAUAAUUCAUUUUUCUUGUAGUAAAAGCUAUGUAACAAUAACAUAUAUAUAAUGUAUUAUAUAUGUCAACAGUAAUUCGAUUUAUUGAUAAAAUAUUAAACUUUGAAUUUUAAAUCAUGGUUCCAAUUAUGAUAAUUUUAAUUAUAAAAGAAUAUGUUAUAGAUGUAGACAAUGAGAUCUUGGUUUAGUGGUAAAGAAGAGGAUUUAUUAUCUUAAAGUUUUAGGUUCUAAUUUAAUUAUUGUGGUGUGAUUUAAUUUUAUGUUAAAUUUAUUUAGUUAUAUUUCAUUUUGUUAGUCGAUUAUUUAAUGAUUUUUUAUUUAAUUAUAUUUUAAUUUAUUAAAUAAUUAUUCAGUAAUUUUUAUGAAUAUAAUUUCAUAAAAAAUGUGUUAUAUGUACAAGCGUUACUUUAGAAACUUUUAAUAGAGUAAAAUAAUUUGAAAAAAUUUACAAUAAAUGAGCAGCAAAAAUAUGCAUGAAGUUUUUUUUUUUUUUUUUUGGGAUAGAGCAAGAAGAACACGGUGUGUGUCAAAAACUACUUUUAUAUGGCAUCCAAUAAAAUAAUCAUGAUAGAUUAUAAUUUUCAGUUUAAUAAUUUUAUAUUUGUAGAAGAGAAAAAGAAAUUUGGAGCUGCAAAACCUAUAUGACUCGUAGCAGCUGUUCUUUGCUCAUUUUUCAUCUUUUCUUCCUUUUUGCUAAUUUGAAUGACACCAAUUAGAUUUAUGUGCACCAAUUCUCUAAUCAUUUUUUUUUUUUUAAAUUUGGAAGUAGAUAAAUUAUUUAAAAUUUUAAAUUAAAAUAAAAUAUAUCGUAUCUAACAGCAUAAGAUAAAUAAUUGUAAGUUGUAAAUUCAAAAUGAUUAUAACAAAUGAUCACUAAUAAAAUUUAAAUUUAAAAUUUUUUUAUUAAAAAAUAAUUUUAAUCGAUUAAAUUAAUUACUUGUUAGUACUCUUUAAUAAUUCAAACAAUAUUUUUUUAACUAUAUAUAAAUUAUUCUUUCCUUUCACUGGGUUCCAUAAAAGCUAAAAUAUAUUUUAAUCUUCUAAACUUCAUUCACUCUUUUUAAUAAUGAAUGCUGCUAAAAAUGUCUCCUGCAACGAUUUUGAUUUUCUUUGUAAUAUUUGCAGUAAAAGUUACAAAUAUUUAAAAGAUAUCAUUCAGCACCAAAAGACAUUCCACCCAAAAUAAAUAAAUAAAUAAAUACAAAUGUUAUCUCUUCAAACGUGGCUUUCCAAUGAAAGAGGCAAGAAUCGAACAUGAGGCAUUAAAGCUAUAUUUAUUACAUGUGCGUAUACUAGUGGUUUGGUAAAGCCUACGGCUGCCUAGGAUUAAUGUCUUAUUCUACGUAAAGCCUAUGACUGCCUCUAUCUUAGCAUUACAAUGAUACUUUACUAUUUAAUGAGCUAGUUAUUAUAAUUAUUUACUUUCUCUUCAUUAUGUUUUUAUUUUUUUUUCAAUUAAUAAAUUAUUGAUGGACAUUAUUAAUUAUAUGUUUAUAUUAAUUAUUGAUGGGUAUUAUUAAUUAUAUGUUUAUGUUAUUUUAUUUUUUUAUUUUUAUACUCUAAAUCUUUUAAAUUAUGAAAGUAGAAUUAGAAUUAUGAUAACUGAAUUCUAUGAAAAAUGAGAAAAAAAAUGCUAACAUCAAAUAACAAAAAGAAAAUUUGAAGCAAUCACUAAAUAAAAAAUUAUACAAUAAAAAAAAUAAUAAUUGAGUGAAAAUUAAAAAGACAAGUCUCAAAGGAAGAUUAACUAAUAAUACUUUUAAUUUGAUUAUUGUGCUGAUUCCGAAGGAUCAAAUUAACCAGAUGGUAUUGCCUUAAAUUGAAGGUGGCAGGAUGCAAAUGUAGGGAGGAAGGUUCUUAUGUGAAGGUUUGAAUUGGUAAUAUUUGUUGGGAAAUACCACAAUACCCACGUGCAGCAACCACACACAAAAUAACAAGCUCAAAUCAAGAAUAAGAACACACAAAUAUAUUUGGUUCAGCCAACUCAAAAUGGCCUACUCCAAAUCUAAUCCACUAUCAAAUAAAUCUUUACAAUUUUGAGACUUUUAGAAUGAGAAAAGUCUCCUAAAACUCCUUACUCAAAACUUAAUCCAAAACCCAAUUACACCUUUUUAAUAGCCUACUCACUUAACUAUUCUCUUGGUGUCUAACUCUCUGGGGUUACAAACUAAAACCAAAACAUCUUAUUUAUAAGGGUGAAACCCUUUAUACCUUUACUAAACUCCCGAUGUGGGAUACAAGACAAACUCAAACUUACUUAACUUUCGAUGUGGGAUUCUGAGAUUCAAGGCAAAUCCCAACAAAUCCUCCCUUGACUUGAAUCUCCAAACACUUCAACAGUAUCUACAAAGCUAACAUGCUUACCUUUCUUCUUUUCUUUCAUCACAGGCAUUCCAGCAACUGAGCCUUCAUCAAACAUGUACAAGUGAUUGACCCUAUUCCCUUGUAGGAUCACACUAUCAUUCUUAUACACUUUCAACCAAUCAUUACUACCAUAAAAUGUGUACCCCCGCGAAGCUAACUCACCUAAAGCAAUCAAAUUGUAGUGACAAUUUGGUACAUACCUUACAUGACGAAGUGUCCUAAUAACACCAUUGUGAGAUCUAAGGUGAACACUCCCAAUGCCUUGAAUCUGCAACUUUUCUUUGUUAGCAACGACAAUAUCUCCAUACUUUUCAUUCUCAUUCAACUCCACAAAGCAACUCCUAUCAUUGCAAACAUGAACUGUAGCAGCUGAAUCUAAAACCCAACUUUUAUCACUUUUCAAAAUCUGGGUCUCAUCCACACAAGUUGUCAAAACAACAUCAUCAUCGUCAGACACGACAGCAGCAGUAUCACUCUUUUCUUCAUCUGAUUUCUUCUCAUCAUUCGCCUUUUUGAAAGCAGCCAUAUCCUUUCUCAGCUUUCUGCAGCGUACUUGGAUAUGUCCCUUCUCACCACAAUAAUAACAUUCUACAUCACUAUAAUCUCUGUCUCUUGAUUUAGAUCUUUAUCUUGAUCCAUCAAUCCUCUUUUGAGUCCUCUCUCGAUCAAAACCCUCUACAGCUAGUGUACUCUCUCCAGGUGAUGAGUUCUGAGCUCCCAUAAACCUUUCAUUCUCACGCAAUAGAGCAGUCACAUCAUCCAACUUUAAAGUAGACCUACCUACCAACACAGUCUGAACUAAAGGCCUAUAAGACUUGGGCAAAGAUGCCAGCAAAAUUAAAAGCCUUCUCUCAAUCUUUUAACUCAAUCAACAGAAAUCGCUAGCAAUUGAGAAACCAAUCUAUUAAACUCAUUCAGGUGAUUGUGAAGACUCAUACCUUUUUCCAUCUUCAAAGAAUACAGAUCCAUCUUCAAACAUAAUCUAUUAGUCAAUGACUUCGAAGCAUAAAUACCUUCAAGUUUAUCCCACAAACUCUUCGGAGUACUCUCAGUCAACACACUGUAUUUUACCUCUGGAGCUAGCGCCAAUCUAAUAGUACUAACGGCUUUCUUCUGAAUCCCAGGCUUACUACUCUCUAAUGCUUGAUCCAACCCUUGUUGUACUAACAGAUCUUGAAUCGUACUUUGCCAUAACAUAAAAUUACUCUUUUCAUCAAAUAACGGAAUCUCAAACUUAAGCAUAGGCAUACCAGACAUACCUUCUUCAGACAUCUUUAAACACUGCUUCACGAUCUCUUGGACCCACGAACCUCGAACCUCGCUCUGAUACCACUUGUUGGGAAAUACCACAAUACCCACGCGCAGCAACCACACACAAAAUAACAAGCUCAAUCAAGAAUAAGAACACACAAAUAUAUUUGGUUCGGCCCAACUCAAAAUGGCCUACUCCAAAUCUAAUCUACUAUCAAAUAAAUCUUUACAAUUGUGAGACUUUUAGAAUGAGAAAAGUCUCCUAAAACUCCUUACUCAAAACUUAACCAAAAACCCAAUUACACCCUUUUAAUAGCCUACUCACUUAGCUAUUCUUUUGGUGUCUAACUCUCUGGGGUUACAAAUUAAAACCAAAACAUCUUAUUUAUAAGGGUGAAACCCUUUAUACCUUUACUAAACUCCCGAUGUGGGAUACAAGACAAACUCAAACUUACUUAACUUUCGAUGUGGGAUUCUGAGAUUCAAGGCAAAUCCCAACAAUAUUUUCCAAAGCUUCCAUCUUUCAAAUUUAAAAUAUCAAUAUCUUGAGGACCACGUGGCUCGUAUGCAUUAAUAUCAAUAUAAUCAUCAGUGAAAUAUAUAGAAUUAGGUUGUCCUGUGAAAAUCCAACGCUGAAACAGCUAAGGUUCCAUUAUCACCACAAAUGCCACAUCUCGCAUCCAUAUCUUUACCUCUUUCUUCUCUAACAAUUCACACUGUUUCAUCAUCCAAAACCAACUUGAAAAUCUCAAAUUUCUCGGUCAAAUAAUCAUCCUUUUCCUCGACCUCAUCACCAGAUUCGAGCUUCCUAUGAAUAGAGUACAGAUUCCCUUUAGAUGAUUCAACUAGAUAUGCUCCGUCCGAAUAAGUCUCUAAGUCUGAUGUUGGAUCUUCUGGCACGACUGUCUUCAACUUUGGUGACUCCAAAUCCUUGUCAAAACUACCAUUAACAUCAAAUUACAUAAUAUUGUUUCUGUGUCCUAUAACGUAGAUAAAAUUUCUAUAAAAAGCAAUAUCGGUCUGACGCUUGUCGAAAUAUAUCUAAGUUUUCUGCCAGGAUUUGUAGAAAGCUAAUCUGUUAUAAGCCCUAUAGAUUACCACAACCACGUAACUAUCCGGAUUGAAUGAAUGGUCUGCUGAUAACACAACCUUUUGAAUGUCGUAUUGAUAGCCCAUAGGCUUUCUAUUGGAAAAUUCAAGCUGAGGGAGAUCAAUGCUAAUGCAAUCCUUAAAAGGGUUUGAAAGGGUUAUGACCAUGUUCUCGUUCCACAAUAGCUAACCAACCACAACCACAACAAGAUCCGUUGCUUCUUUUAUUAUAAGACUUUGGAAACUCAAUGCUGGAGACUUUUGUUUUGGCUUGUAGGCUAUAUAAUUUCCGCUUUGUCUCGCUCUUUUUGGUUGGAAUCAACAGCAUUGGAACCAUAUUCGGUGAUGAUUGCCCUUUUAUGUCCAGAAAAGUAUUGAAAACUGAAUGCCAAUUCCUACUGACUGCACUAAAUUGAAACAAGUUGCUCGGGGCAUCAAAUUUGUCUAGAACCUUAAAGGGACAGUUGUGGAAGAUAUUCCCAAUCCGGUUCAAAAUUUUCCAUAUGUUUUUCUUGAAAAACAGUUGAAGAAUGUCAAGAAUUUUUUUUAAACAAUCUGGGAAAGCUUAUAACGAUAGAAAGUCACUUAAUUAGGUGAAGAAAAAGAAGUACAAAAGAGGGUUACUGAGCUUUGUGUUUGGUACAAAAAGGGUAUUUACAGGUAGCUUUUGUUUUUUUUUUUUUAAUCGUAAAUCCAAUUCCAAUUAGAAUGGAAUUUAAGUGUUUGCAUACAAUUCGCAUAUAAACAAACUUUAAAUACGUAAAUGGAACUCAAUUAUCGGUUAAAUAACUUUCAACUUUUAGAUAUAAUUGGAACUCAAUUGUCGGUUUAUUUAAAUAAAGGACAAGGGUGGUAAAUUUGUUUGUUUAUCAACCUUCCUACCAAAAUUUCUGAUGAUCUUGGCUAAAAGCAGGCUAACUUUUUAGUGUUUGUAAUUGCAAUUAAUUUUCGAUGGUAUCACUGAGUCAAGACAGAGAAUAAGAAGUGAAUACUAUCUGUUCAUAUUUGUGUCACGGAACAUAUGCAUCGUGUUUGUCCUUGAUGUUUUGACUGAUAAUCUAUGCCCUUUAAGAAGUGAAUACUGGCAACUGUCUACGUCUUGAUUGUUUGGAUGUUAUGUUUGACUCACAGAGGAUGUUUGUGCCACAAUGCUUUGCUCUUUUUUCAUGUCAGUGGCUGGUCUAUAUUGGUUGAUUGUGAUUGUAGAUAAUGAUAAACAUGGAGAAUUCUAUGGUAUUACUGUUAGUUUUGAGAUGAUAAAAGCUUGAAGUUCUAGUAUCGCUGGAAGCCUGAAGCCUUCUAUCUAGUAAACCCAGUAGCAUAAACAUGAAGAAUUCUGUGUAUUCUCACUGGCCAAAAAUUAAACUCUUGUGUCUAAAGCAGUGAAAAGUUUUUCUAUUUCAAUAUUCUUUGAUAAUUUUGCGUGAGGAAAACAGUUCAAACAAUCCCUUUCCUGGAUGUUUGCUCAAGGAAAAUCCAUUAUGAUUUGAUCUUCUUUAAUAUGUGCUACCACAUUUUUCUGAUAAUGAAUUUAGUGUCAUCAAAGGUGGUUCAAGUUAAUUGCAACAAUAUACUCAAGGACACUGUUUAGAUGGUAGAGCCCAUUCUCCGUUUAGUACUACUAAGAAGAACUUGGCUUGGUUGAGCCAUUAAACUGCUGAGAUUCAGCACAGGCAUUAUGCAACUUACAUUUUAGUGGGUCCUUUCUGCUUCUAUUUUAAUGUUUCGCACAUAAGUGGGAAGAUUUCCAAGUUUGAGACCACGAAUGGAAUGAUUCACAUUUUACAAGUGGUCUUUACCUGUUUGAUUUUAAGAAAAAAAAAAAGGGUAUUUUUGUUUUCAGGGAAAAAGGUAUGUAAAACACUUAGAAGUUAUCAAUCUUUACAACAUGAUCGACAGUUUUUGGCUUGUAAAAGAGAUAUCAACAAAAAUGAAAGCAUAAUGAAGGUCAGGAUGUUACUCAAUCAAAAAAGCAAAGCAUGUGGAGGCUUAUGCAGUUCUAUUAAUUAAUAAAACAAAUUCCUGUAAGAUAUGCUUUUCAAGAGAAAUGCAAUGAUCAUUACAAGUUUAAUUGCACGUUUGGGUUCAUUCGUAAUCAUAUAAGAAUGAUCAUGACUUUUAUUUAUUAUUCAAUGCAAACUUGCAUUGUUUAUAACAUAUACUAAGAAAAUUAAGCCCCCAACCCCCAACUUACAAAAGAAACUGUCUAUGUAAUUGUGUAUUAUCCAUAUGGGGAGAGGAGUAGUUGAACCAAACCCUUAGAAAAUCAAAUGAAAAGGCAUAAAAUCUGUGUAAAGAGACAAGCAUAGGGCUAUAACUAUGAUUGUUCGGUAAAGCUAUAUAUAAAUGGGGACAGUGGGAGAAUAAUGCAAUUAGGGGUGGCCUACUCCAGGACUUGGGACAGACUUUAAGACUCGAUCAAUUUUGGCGAGAUGAAUGGCAAAGAGCUUUUCUUUAUUAGCCAUAGCAUGCCCCUUAUCAUCACUAGCACGAAGUAUUUUCGUAGGCUCCCGGACAAGGGUGCUUCCAACAAAAUUAUCCUUAGAUGAAGGAACUUCUUUCUUCUCUAAGUUCAAAAGCUUUCUAGCUUCAAGAGAUGUUGGUAGGAAGAUGAAAGCGAAAAUAACGAUAAUCAAAACAAGGCUUAAUCGAGUCAUUUUCGAAUGCAAAGAGAAAGAAUAAAGAUGCUAUAUUUUCUAUGCCUUUUCUUAUAGAAGUGAAAAUCAGAAAUGAGGCCUCGAAUGACAUAUUGGUUAGAUUUAGAGGUAUAUAUAUAAGAACGGAGAAACCGG
rnacentral:lncRNA from 1 species